UAAUUGAAGAGUUUGAUCAUGGCUCAGAUUGAACGCUGGCGGCAGGCCUAACACAUGCAAGUCGAGCGGUAACAGAUUGAUAGCUUGCUAUCAAUGCUGACGAGCGGCGGACGGGUGAGUAAUGCCUGGGAAUAUACCCUGAUGUGGGGGAUAACUAUUGGAAACGAUAGCUAAUACCGCAUAAUCUC
rnacentral:ncRNA from 1 species